AGCCGAACCAGGAGGCGACAGAGUUUACCCUGAUCUCUUUAUUUCCCAAACAAGAUCUCGCCUCUCCCUGUCAUGGAGGAUAAUUUAAUCUCACCACCUUCCUGCUCUGAUUUAUUAUUGCCUCCUCCUCCCUCCUCCCAUGCCACCAUGUGUCCAUGUCCUCUCCCUCUCUCCUAUCGAGCCUUUUUCUCUCUGCCUCCUCUGGCGUUAUUAGCUAAUCGCUAGCUAGGUGCCAGCGUCUCCUGCCUGAUCUCCAGGCGCCAUGCGGGUGCAGUGCGACGUCUGCGGCGGCGAGCCGGCCGCGGUGCUCUGCUGCGCCGACGAGGCCGCGCUCUGCUCCGCCUGCGACCGCCGCGUCCACCGCGCCAACAAGCUCGCCGGCAAGCACCGCCGCCUUCCGCUCCUCCAACCCUCGGCCGCCAGCUCCGGUGACUCCACCGCCGCCGCCGGGCCGCUCUGCGACGUCUGCAAGGAGAGGAGGGGGCUGGUGUUCUGCGUCGAGGACCGCGCCAUCCUGUGCGCCGACUGCGAUGAGCCCAUCCACAGCGCCAACGACCUCACCGCCAAGCACAGCCGCUUCCUCCUCAUCGGGGCCAAGCUCUCCGCCGCGCUCGUUGACCGGGCGCCCGCCUCCCCGGACUGUGGCGGCGGCCUCUUCGAGCCCGACGACGUCGCCGCCGCUUGCGCGCAGGACUCCUCCACGUACAGGAGCUCGGUUCUUGAGUGCAGCAACAACAACGGCGGCGGCGAUGGAGGCGGCAGCAGCAUCUCGGACUAUCUCACCAACAUCUGCCCCGGCUGGCGCGUCGACGACCUCCUCUUCGACGAGGCGGCGUUCUCCGCCGCUGCGAAGGCCGGCCGCGACGAGCACGAGCAGGUGCCGUCCCUGGACGCGGACAUCUUCGACGUGGUCGCCGGGCGGCCGGGGAAGCACAGCGCCUGGCCGGGCGCGCUGGGCCUCGAGAAGGUGCCGGCCGCCAUGGCAGCCCCGGCGGGCAAGCAGCAGAGGGAGAGGUACUGGAACAGCGACGUGUUCGCGGUGCCGGAGAUCUCGCCGCCGGCGGCCAAGAAGGCGCGGCCGUCGUCGUCCUUCUGGUGCUUCUGAGCUGUAUCAGUCCGGCGAGCUAGCUAGCUCGAUCGAUCGCUUGUGUAAUCCACUACUAGUCUACUAAUAGUCUGGCAGCAAGUUCUCUCCGCCUUCCACUUCCAGUUACCCCCGAUUUGACUGCAUCGCCCUCCAUCACGCUCCAGACUGGUGGCAAAACGUCUCCAAAGCAACACCAAAAGCUAGUCGCAGGGACGUUAAUGGCCUAAUCAUCUACACCCUUUGGAAUGUCUGGAAAGAAAAAAACCGAAGAGUUUUUCAGAACAAGGCAAAUCACCCAGAAGAGACAGCCACCCGCACAAUUCAAGACAUAUUCAUCAAACGUCAGGCGCUAGGUUUUUGAGGAUUUUUCGUGCCAUUUAGUCCCUGUGUCUCUUGCUUCUUUUAGUGAGGUGUUUUCUAUCGGACGUUUUUUCUUACAGGGAGGAGUUUUUUUUCCCUAUGUAAAUUGCUCGGUGUUGUACGCUCUCUACUGUUCUUAAUAUUAAGGCAGAACUCCUACCAUUCCGGCAAAAAAGAAGAAAGAGACUAGAUUACAUAAAUUUUGGAGGAUUCGUUUCUGUUACAAUCAGAGGGUUUGAGAAUAUGA